ensembl:lncRNA novel transcript, antisense to RIPOR2
UCAGAGAGUGGUCUGAUUAAAUAGCACUCCAUCUCUGGGUUUUUUUUUUUUUCCUUUUUCUUCCAGAGAGGUGAGCAUCUGCAGAAUGCUGUCUGGCACACUGUGUUCAUUAGAAUAAGCAAAAAUAGCAUCCCACCUACUGAACAGCUGUCAUUGAUGUUCAGAUUGCUGUUUUGCUUUUUUCUUUUCUUUGUUUUUAAAACAUCAUUAAAUAAGCAUGGAUCUCCCCAAAGAAGCUCUAACGUUUGAUUGGAUAAUUCUCAGGAUGUAUUUUCUGAAAGAUGAGGGAACUGAAAUCCGUGAGCUUUAAACCGCUUGCUUGAAGACACGGCUGACAUUUGUGGCUGAAUCCUAAUGUAGUUAAUUUUCCUUUCAAUGGGUCAACUUGCAACUGUUAGGAGUCUUCGAAACCUUUUGUGUGAAUCCAGGAGGGAAAAUUGUCUGGCAAAGUCUGAUAAGCAUCGUGUCAAGAGCACAUUUGUACUCUGGAUGGGAGGUGAAGGGAAGAGCAGCAUCAUCUGUGCAGCCUGGUGAAACGGUGUUUACGACAGUCUACACGGCACUACUGGGUAUGCUGUCUCCUUGGAUUGUGUCAUAUUUUUAACCCAGUGGGAAAUUCAUAGGAUCCUCUUGACUCUGUAAAAACUGUGGGACAAUUCAGUCACUUUUACCAAAUCCUCAUUUCCUUUUCAAACCCUGUUUACUAACUGAUGCCAAAUAGUAUUAUAGUAAUUGGGAAAUAAAGGAAGUCCCUCUCC